rnacentral:lncRNA from 1 species
GACAAGAUUGGCAAGGAUGGCAAGAAGAAGCGCGGCCGCGGCAAGGGCAAGGAUGUCACCGACCCCAACAAGCCUAAGGGCCCCAAGGGUGCAUACAUGUGCUUCGUGCAGAUCGCCCGCCCUAAGAUCAACGCCGCCAACCCCGACCUCAAGUUCGCGGAGAUCGCCAAGAUGCUGGGCGAACAGUGGAAGAACAUGGACACCACCACCCGCGCUGGUUACGAGAAGAUGGCCGAGCAGGACAAGGAGCGCUACCAGAGGGAGAUUGCCGCCUACGUGCCCAUGUCCGAGGCUGGCCUCGAGCAGCUGCGCAAGGAGAAGGCAGCCAAGAAGUCCGCCGGUGGUCUCCAGAAGCCCUACAAGUGCUCCGCCGCGCUCACCAAGUUCCUCGGCGGCGACAAGACGAUCUCCCGCGCGACCCUCACCUCCAAGAUGUGGUCGUACUUCAAGGAGAAGAACCUCAUGGACCCCGAGAACAAGCGCUGGAUCAUCGCGGACAAGCCCUUGUCCGACCUCCUCGGCAUCGAUCGCUUCCAGGGCUUCACCGUAUCCAAAUACCUGUCCCCCCACCUCCUCCCCAUGGAGUAAGUGGUUUGUGCCAAACUCAACACCUCUGUGUCACUUGGGGACAGGGAAUCGCUGGGCUGGGAUAGUUCUGCA